GAUGAACGCUGGCGGCGUGCCUAAUACAUGCAAGUCGAGCGAACGGACGAGGAGCUUGCUUCUCUGAUGUUAGCGGCGGACGGGUGAGUAACACGUGGAUAACCUACCUAUAAGACUGGGAUAACUUCGGGAAACCGGAGCUAAUACCGGAUAAUAUUUUGAACCGCAUGGUUCAAAAGUGAAAGACGGUCUUGCUGUCACUUAUAGAUGGAUCCGCGCUGCAUUAGCUAGUUGGUAAGGUAACGGCUCACCAAGGCAACGAUGCAUAGCUGACCUGAGAGGGUGAUCGGCCACACUGGAACUGAGACACGGUCCAGACUCCUACGGGAGGCAGCAGUAGGGAAUCUUCCGCAAUGGGCGAAAGCCUGACGGAGCAACGCCGCGUGAGUGAUGAAGGUCUUCGGAUCGUAAAACUCUGUUAUUAGGGAAGAACAUAUGUGUAAGUAACUGUGCACAUCUUGACGGUACCUAAUCAGAAAGCCACGGCUAACUACGUG
rnacentral:rRNA from 1 species